UGAGUCCAGGGAAAGGCAGCAACUUCUCAAAGCCAUACAGGGAGCCAAUGGUCAAGAGCGGAGCCCCACGCUGCCGCUGUUGGCGCUGACAGUGGGCCAGCCUGGGAAGCAGGAGAGAAGGCCGCACUUCCGCCGUCUCCACCCCCGGCCGUUUCUAGGACACCAAGAAUCAACUCGAAGCCGCUCCUAUGAUUAAUUACCAGCUGCCUAAUGCUCCGCCACUGGCAAUUUCUGGAAAAGGAAUGAAUUACCUUGAAAAACAUCCGAAAAGAGAACCCACCGUGAAGGAGAAUUUCAAAGGUUACCAGACAAUUAGCAGAGGGUUCCCCUAGCCUUAUCGAGUUGCAGGCAGGCCCCAUCGGGGAGGGGCAGGCCACCAGCCUGGGGGCCACCCUCUGGCUCCAGAAAGCAGCGGGCUUGGCAGGCUGGACAAGGGCUGCAGGGCUUUCCCCAAGCAGCUCCCACGCUUGUCCUGGGGCACCGCCCCUGGUCUCCAAGGCCUUGUGCACUGGUUAAUCCUGACGGACCUCGGUUCAAAUCCCCACUCCAGCACUGACGGCUCUGUGGGUUUCCUAACCACGCCGAGCCUCUGGAGAAUGAAUUAGACAAACCUCCCUGUGGGAUUCUUGUGGGGAGAAACAGGUAUUAAAGGAGCAUAGCUCCUGGCACACACACAGCAGAUGCUCCUGAGGCAGUAACAUUUAAAAAUAUUCAUGGCUUCUAAGCAUCCUCACAGCAGCCCUGUCAGCAAUGUCAGUAUAAUCAGCCUCAUUUUCAGAUGAGAAAGCUGGCUCUCACACAAGGGAAGGGACUGGCCCAAGGUCACGCAGCGGAUCAGCAGACAGCCGAGAUUUCCUGCAGCGGGAAGGGAGACGGAGCCUGGCUCCCCAGUGUCGGAGCCUGACUGAGGCUCGCCCGGCCUGCCCCAGGCCCCUGGCAUUGCUAAGCUCCAGGAGGGACUGAGGGCAGUAGGGGAUGUUAGGAGACAGCCCCACACCAGGGUGAAGACUCCCCUCUCCUGGGCUGCCUGAGCACCACAACGCCUUGGGACAAAGGGCUCUGGCCCAAGUGAGGAUUUUUGUGAAGCCUCUCAUCUCUAGGUUGAGAGUUGCCAAGGAAACAGGGAUUACACAGGUCACCCUCCAGCACAGGGCCACGGGAGAUCACCCUGAAAUGCCACCCCAUGAUGAGAAAUGCUGGGGCACGGUCCAGAGCUGAGCUCAACCUCAGGACCUGCUGGCCCCAGCUGCUCUCAGUUGCUCCUCAAGGAGCCCUGCCCCGCUUAUCAGGCCAGGGGUUCAGUUCGUGUCCAUCCUGGCACUGAUGGGUCCUCAGGGGGAGCAGGGUGGUGGAAACUGAGGUGUGUGGAGAGAAAGGUGGGUUCCAGCACCCUUGAGGAAAAGGACUGACAUGUCCCCAGUCCUUGCUGUGUGCCAGGUGUGCAGUCUCCUCACCGCGACAGUGGGGCAGGCGCCGACAUCUCAUUCCCAUUUGAUAGAUGGGUUAACAGAGGCACAGAGUAACCAUGUGUGCCAAUCAGGAUUUGAACCCAGGUGGUCUGAUCCCAGAGCCCAGUGUGUAUCCACCUCAGUGUUUGUGAGAGUGGGUAGAAGGGGUGGUAGCCCUGCACCCAUUUCAGCCCAAAUAUUCCUGCUCACCCAGGCCUCCUUUCGUGGGGCUGCCCCUACCCCACAGGGUUUAGAGCGGUACACACAGGGCUCCUGUGCCAAGACCAGGUAGCCAGACCUGCCCCUCUCCCGGGGCAGACCUCCAGCCCCCACCCCUAGCAGCUGCUCUAGAGAAAUGCCAGGCCAAGAGGUCCCUGGGUGCCAGGUAGAGGGACGACCCAUUUGGGGCAUGAUGAGGUUCCAGUAAAGGUGACUUGUACCCACUCCUGCCCAUCAGGGCUGAGGCCCGAGUCAAAGGUCCAGCAUGCUAGGGCCAGCACCUGCCCUCAUCAGGACUUGCCUGCUUCCGACCCAGCCACCUCCCGCCAGCCCAGUGGCACACCUACCUCAGUGAUCUGCAAAUCACCAGUGGCCCACGCGCCGGUCAGCAGCUCGCGGCCCCUCCACCUCACUCCAGCUCCAUCCUGCUGCAAUAAGAGCAGGUCGUCAGUGGGUCUACCCACAGCAGAGGCCCGGGCACUGACCAUGAGGCCACUACCCAGUGCCACCAUAUCAUCCCCAUCUGACAAAGGAGGACUCUGAAGGGACAUGAUGGGGUGCCCUGGCAUAAACAAGCCCCUGACUCCCCACACCUGCCAGUUACUGGUUAUGUGAUUACGGAUAUGCUCUCAGACUCUCUGGGGUUCAGUUUCCUCAUGUGUCAAAGUGGGGUCAAAAUAUGUCUCCAGGUCACUGGGAGAAUCCAAAGAGACGUGAUGACAAAGGCA